rfam:Danio rerio chromosome 19, GRCz11 reference primary assembly.
GCUGGCAGCUAGCUCUCUGCAACUCUCACAUGGUCGCCCACUGAAGCUAAGCAGGGCUGCGCCCGGUCAGUACCUGGAUGGGAGACCACUUGGGAAAGCUAGGUUGCUGCCGGAA